UGACGAGUCCAACAAUAGGACGAAACGGCCGUC
rnacentral:hammerhead_ribozyme from 1 species